AGCGUCUGGAAAGGCGCGCGAUACAGGGUGACAGCCCCGUACACAAAAGCGCAURUGCUGUGAGCUCGAUGAGUAGGGCGGGACACGUGGUAUCCUGUCUGAAUAUGGGGGGACCAUCCUCCAAGGCUAAAUACUCCUGACUGACCGAUAGUGAACCAGUACCGUGAGGGAAAGGCGAAAAGAACCCCGGCGAGGGGAGUGAAAAAGAACCUGAAACCGUGUACGUACAAGCAGUGGGAGCCCCACCACUAAGCCAGUGGUGAACUCCACAUACGCAUCCUUUGCUGAGGAUACGGUUAACGGAGCGCAAGCGACGUUCAACCGCAAAAGAAGCAGAGGGGGCUUAGUGGUGGGGUGACUGCGUACCUUUUGUAUAAUGGGUCAGCGACUUAUAUUCUGUAGCAAGGUUAACCGAAUAGGGGAGCCGSAGGGAAACCGAGUCUUAAYYGGGCGUUAAGUUGCAGGGUAUAGACCCGAAACCCGGUGAUCUAGCCAUGGGCAGGUUGAAGGUUGGGUAACACUAACUGGAGGACCGAACCGACUAAUGUUGAAAAAUUAGCGGAUGACCUGUGGCUGGGGGUGAAAGGCCAAUCAAACCGGGAGAUAGCUGGUUCUCCCCGAAAGCUAUUUAGGUAGCGCCUCGUGAAUUCAUCUCCGGGGGUAGAGCACUGUUUCGGCUAGGGGGCCAUCCCGGCUU
rnacentral:rRNA from 1 species